ACGAACGCUGGCGGCAUGCCUCACACAUGCAAGUCGAACGAGACCUUCGGGUCUAGUGGCGCACGGGUGCGUAACGCGUGGGAACCUGCCCUUAGGUUCGGAAUAACUCCCCGAAGGGGGUGCUAAUACCGGAUAAUGUCUUCGGACCAAAGAUUUAUCGCCUUUGGAUGGGCCCGCGUUGGAUUAGCUAGUUGGUAGGGUAAAAGCCUACCAAGGCGACGAUCCAUAGCUGGUCUGAGAGGAUGAUCAGCCACACUGGGACUGAGACACGGCCCAGACUCCUACGGGAGGCAGCAGUGGGGAAUAUUGGACAAUGGGCGAAAGCCUGAUCCAGCAAUGCCGCGUGAGUGAUGAAGGCCUUAGGGUUGUAAAGCUCUUUUACCCGGGAUGAUAAUGACAGUACCGGGAGAAUAAGCUCCGGCUAACUCCGUG
rnacentral:rRNA from 1 species